rnacentral:rRNA from 1 species
GUGGGGAAUAUUGCACAAUGGGGGAAACCCUGAUGCAGCCAUGCCGCGUGUGUGAAGAAGGCCUUCGGGUUGUAAAGCACUUUCAGUGGGGAGGAAGGGCUGAUGACUAAUAUUCAUCAGCAUUGACGUUACCCACAGAAGAAGCACCGGCUAACUCCGUGCCAGCAGCCGCGGUAAUACGGAGGGUGCAAGCGUUAAUCGGAAUAACUGGGCGUAAAGCGCACGCAGGCGGUUAGAUAAGUCAGAUGUGAAAGCCCCGGGCUCAACCUGGGAACUGCAUUUGAAACUGUCUGACUAGAGUCUUGUAGAGGGGGGUAGAAUUCCAGGUGUAGCGGUGAAAUGCGUAGAGAUCUGGAGGAAUACCGGUGGCGAAGGCGGCCCCCUGGACAAAGACUGACGCUCAGGUGCGAAAGCGUGGGGAGCAAACAGGAUUAGAAACCCGGGUAGUCC